rnacentral:rRNA from 1 species
GAUGAACGCUGGCGGCGUGCCUAAUACAUGCAAGUCGAGCGAACAGACGAGGAGCUUGCUCCUCUGACGUUAGCGGCGGACGGGUGAGUAACACGUGGAUAACCUACCUAUAAGACUGGGAUAACUUCGGGAAACCGGAGCUAAUACCGGAUAAUAUAUUGAGCCGCAUGGUUCAAUAGUGAAAGACGGUUUUGCUGUCACUUAUAGAUGGAUCCGCGCCGCAUUAGCUAGUUGGUAAGGUAACGGCUUACCAAGGCAACGAUGCGUAGCCGACCUGAGAGGGUGAUCGGCCGCACGGGACGUGAGCCACGGUCCAGACUCCUACGGGAGGCAGCAGUAGGGAAUCUUCCGCAAUGGGCGAAAGCCUGACGGAGCAACGCCGCGUGAGUGAUGAAGGUCUUCGGAUCGUAAAACUCUGUUAUUAGGGAAGAACAAAUGUGUAAGUAACUAUGCACGUCUUGACGGUACCUAAUCAGAAAGCCACGGCUAACUACGUG